AUCACUGACCAUACCUUAGGAACCUUCCUCCCUUGCGGGUUAGCGCAGCUACUUCUAGUACAGCCAGCUUUCGUGAUGUGACGGGCGGUGUGUACAAGGCCCGGGAACGUAUUCACCGCGGCGUGCUGAUCCGCGAUUACUAGCGAUUCCAACUUCAUGCAGGCGAGUUGCAGCCUACAAUCCGAACUGAGACCGGCUUUCUCCGAUUAGCUCCACCUUACGGUAUCGCGACGGUUUGUACCGGCCAUUGUAGCACGUGUGUGGCCCCAGACAUAAAGGCCAUGCUGACUUGACGUCAUCCCCACCUUCCUCCGGUUUGUCACCGGCAGUCUCUUCAGAGUGCCCGGCAUAACCCGAUGGCAACAGAAGACAAGGGUUGCGCUCGUUGCGGGACUUAACCCAACAUCUCACGACACGAGCUGACGACAGCCAUGCAGCACCUCUACAGACGUCCUUGCGGAAGCCUACU
rnacentral:rRNA from 1 species